CUGAAGGUCAAGGCUUGGCCUGAGCUGUCCCUGACUUCUUGCCUUGAACAGCUGCAGGAUGUGUCCACGCUUGGGGGAGAGAGGGCAGCCAUAUAAACAAGAGUGUAAGAAACCCCAGAAAUACCCCAAAGUAACAUCAGGAUGGAGAAUCCAGAUGUUCCAUGGAGAAACAAGCUCUCUGCUAUGGCCCGGGAAAGCAGCAGAAGGUGGUCCAAGUCCUUGGGCUCUGGCACCUGCGUGGGAGACCCAGAAGAAGCCGUUGGCUCCUGGCUUUGGAUUGGCCCAGCUCCAGCCAUGUGGCCAUCUGGGGAGUGAACCAGCAGACGGAAGACCUCUCUCUCUCUCCCCUUCCGCCUUCUUGUAAC